AUGGAACGUAUGGCGACCUCAUAUUUCAAGGAGGUAUAUACCAAAGAUCCGAUGCUUUCGCCGGAGGUGGUGUUGGGGGGUAUUGUACCUAAAGUCACCCAAGCAAUGAUCGAUGCACUUUGUGCUCCCUUUUCAGAAGAGGAGAUUUCUACUGCACUCUUUCAAAUUGGCCCUAUCAAGGCGUCAGGUACUGAUGGGCUGCCAGCUAGGUUUUACCAGAGAAACUGGGCGAUGUUGAAGACAGAGAUUGUGGCUGCAGUUUUGGACUUCUUUAAGUCAGGAAUAAUGCUGGACGGGGUAAAUGAUACAGCUAUCAUUCUUAUUCCGAAAGUUCCACACCCAAAGGAGCUCAAGGAAUUUAGACCGAUUAGCUUAUGUAAUGUGUUAUACAAAAUUGUUUCGAAGUGUCUUGUCAACCGGCUUUGGCCUAUACUUGGAGAUUUAAUUUCUGAAAAUUAG
rnacentral:rRNA from 1 species